GGACCCGCACAAGCGGUGGAGCAUGUGGUUUAAUUCGAAGCAACGCGAAGAACCUUACCAAGCCUUGACAUCCGGGAGAAUGCCGGGCAAUGCCGGCAGCCCUGCGGGGCUUCCGAGACAGGUGGUGCAUGGUUGUCGUCAGCUCGUGUCGUGAGAUGUUGGGUUAAGUCCCGCAACGAGCGCAACCCUUACUUCUAGUAGCCAGCAGCGAGGCUGGGCACUCUAGAGGGACUGCCAGGGACAACCUGGAGGAAGGUGGGGAUGACGUCAAAUCAUCAUGCCCCUUAUGGCUUGGGCUACACACGUGCUACAAUGGCGUAAACAAAGGGAAGCGACCCGCGAGGGUGAGCGAAUCUCAAAAUAACGUCCCAGUUCGGAUUGCAGUCUGCAACUCGACUGCAUGAAGCUGGAAUCGCUAGUAAUCGCGAAUCAGCAUGUCG
rnacentral:rRNA from 1 species